GGGGAUAUAGCUCAGCUUGUGCCUGGCAAGCACAAGAUCCUGAGUUCGAUUCCCAGUACCACUA
rnacentral:tRNA from 1 species